GCAGAAAUUUUUCAAUAGCCGGCAACCUCGCUUUUAUUUUCGACGGAACUUCACCUCUUGGAAUGUUUUUGUCUGUUGUUUAUUAAUUGUUUGAGAGGUUAUUAUGCUUUUUGCAAUGCUUAAUCAUUAGUUUCUGCUGAAUUUUGACGAACUAUUUUUAUCCGGAGCACUGUCGUCUGUCUAAAUUCACUAUAGUUUGUUUGUAUUAGUUUAUUUUUCACUUUGUUACACUAAAUUUUUAUAUUUUAAUACGGAACGUAUUUUGACAGUAUCAUUCAAGUUCAAGCCUCGAUGUCAAGCUAACGAUAUCAACACAAACUCAUGCAAGAAUCUUGAAAAUCGGAGUACAAAUAAUAAAGUUAUAGGUUGUCAGAC
rnacentral:lncRNA from 1 species